GUCAAAACAAACCAGUUUCUCAUUAUUUUCCCUUUUGAAACGUAGUCUGCUCUGAACUGCUUUUAGUCCAGAAUUCAUGCUUGGCAGAUCCCAUCUUGUCGCCAUGGUUCCAUGCAAUAGUGAUUUUCUGCGUUCAAACAUCAGCCACAUUUGAAUGUUUCUAUAAAUAGCCACAACAUCCAUAGGUGUUAGAAGACGCAUGCAGUGACGUCAGUGGAACGAGAAGCCGCUGGAAACAAAAGAAAGAUUCAAAGGGCAAUUGGUGAAUAUGUAAAAAUUGGACAUACAUUUUUUUUUUGCCCACGGCAAUUUGGCACUAGAGUCCCAUUUCUUAUCCACGUUCAGUCCGAGGUAGUCGAGUGAUAUCGGUAUUCUUUUUACUGAAUUUGGUAAUUAUUAAAUCACAUAGAAGCGUAUGGGCAAUUUAAAGAUUUUCAGUUCUUUCUAAGCCUCCUUGACCUAUUAGCAGUAGGUAUUCAUUUCCUGCUUUUUUGUUUCAUGGCAUUUCCAAGGAAGAAUCGAUACUUUAAUCAAAGAAUUCAAAAACUCGGAUGGGUUGGUUUCCGACCAAUUGGUUACAUGUCUCCCCUCUAGGGAAUGACAAGUUCUCGAGAGAACGCUUUGAUACACAAUUGUACUUGGGACUGACGACUUGCUACGACAACACACGAAGGAAAAUUGGAAGAAAAAUCUCGUCGUGUCUUUGAUAACGAAGGAAAAAUCGUUGGUGUGACAAGGUGAACGACUCUCAUCAACAACGAAGACACGACAUUUUGUGGUCCAACAUCGAACGAUAAAAUAACGAGCGUGCAAUUUUAUACACGUAUCGUUCGUUAACGGGUGGUUGGGUGCAGUGCCUGGGGUUGUCGUACUUGUGUCACCUUACAAAGAGAAACACGCCAUAUUGCCCACGCAAAUAGUCAGACGGAUGUUGUGCUUCAACAAAGAAAAGGUGAGUAUCUCAGUUGAGAAAUGGAUUGCCUUUUGUCACACAAAUUGGUGCAGAAAAUUUGCUUCAUCUCCAUUAGGGAUAAAAGCUUAGUAAAUAGAAGUGGGCCCCGUUGAUUGUACUUUGAGUCCGAUAUCCAUUAACGGGGAGAUGGGACGCCACUACUGACGCAUUAGAUUUAAGAGAAAGGUAAGUGCUGAGCCGAAAGAUCACAAAGAGAGCAAAAAUAGAAGUAAUGGCCGCGCCCAAUAAGUUAAAAGCGAGUUCCCGACAUGUUAUUCGCUCCUGUCCGUUAAUGGCGUCAACGGCAACAGUAAAUAUUGUCUAGUACAAUAAUCGACAUUGAUGCAAUUUCCGAUACACAGUGAUUGAGCAAACAUGACUCCACCUUGAAAAAAGAAAUCCUUCAAGAAAAUGAACCCGUUUGAUAUGAUCAAUGUAUUUUUGAGAGUUCAACAGAAAACAGAGACGUAACGCACAAAGAGACUUUAAAAAUUGACAGAUGGCAGCCAACACGUGUAUAAUUUCAAUGGCUGUCACAGAGAGAUAUGUGGUGUGAUUCGCGUGUGUG